UGCAGUGUAAAACCAGCUCGACUGACACCUUCCGCUUUGCUCUUAAGUUGACUAUCAAUAAAUGAACAUUACUAUUAGAACAUGCGCUGUGUUACAGUCCGAAGUAUCCGGACAUACCAUAGAUGAAUCAAUUCCAGUACCAAAGACUACGGAUGUUGUGUGAUUAUGGCGAUGAGUAGGGAUAUAGCUGUAAAGAAUAUGGAUAGAUACACUUGAACCGAUUUCAACAAAUUCAGGUUUAUGAAAAACAUUCAGGUUUUCCUCAACCAACGAGGAAGCUGUUUGCGGUAGCAUCACACGCUUGAUGUCCGGUUUCGGCUUCGACAUCGCUUUCACUCCCAGUUUGUAUUCUGAGAACUUACCCGAAAGCUCCACAUCAACAUAUUGCGCACGCUCACUGUUGAUCACCACCUUCACUAUCAGUGCACUCUCUUCAAACUUUUGCAGUGGAGUGUAUAUGCGAUAAGAAUACUCAAAGUCCUUCAGCUUUGCACGCAGAAUCACUUUCUCCAGCUCUUUCAAUGGUGUGGCGAGGUGGAACUUUACGUCAAAGUUUUGUGGAGACACGACCGCAUACAGUAGCUCUAUACCGAGUUCCGUCUUCGGUGUAAUUAUCUCCGCCACCAGGUGACGAUUCUUCUCACUGAUUCCGAACCGUCCAUUUAUGCUGCGAUAGUUGAUGUUGGACGAGGUUAUGUUUGCCGUCAACAUACAGUCCACCAGAUUGCGUAUGUGUCCCUCGAGCAGUAAAUCGUACGUAUUAUCAUCCAGCUGCAGAUCGGCGGCUCCUGUGAUGGUACGAUUUUCGCUCACGGAAACCUUCGCCACAAGCGCACCCAUUCGAUAGUUCUCAUAUGGGCUUAUCAAUCGAAGUGAUCCUGUUAUAUUGCUGUGCCGCUUAUCCGCUUUGUGCUGCCAGUUCGAGCGAACCGAAAACUCUUGCACAGGCUGAUCGGUAGUUUCGUAGUUUAGGAGGACAGUCGUCUCGACCCUAUCGGUUACUAAUGUCUGAUUAAAGUACAUCGUUACUGCAGGUAUAUUACGGAGGGAACUUUUCAACUGUGUGCCUAGCUCACAGUUGAAUAUCUCCUUAUUGGACCGGUACGUUCCAUUCAACUCAACUCCCAGACGCUGAUCCUCGGCCCAAUUUGCAAUAAGGUCUGUAUACAGCACGUUAUCCUUGAAAGAAAACG